rnacentral:sRNA from 12 species
UAUAGCAGCAGGCAGAGAUGCGCUGUACACUCGUGCAAGCGAAUUUGCGUUUAAGCGGUAUGUAAUGCCGUCGCCCACGAGGAGGCCGCCUUCGGGCGGCUUUUUUAUUGGAG